rnacentral:lncRNA from 1 species
UUUUGUUUGUGUUACCAACUUAUUUUAUUUGAUUUUUGGUUAAUGUUUAGAUAUAUUUCUCAACAAUUACUUUUUAAGAAAAAAAUCACAGCCUUUAAAAAUUGUCUGAUGAUCCAAUUUUUGUUGUGUAACACGAGAGAAGCCAAACAGUGAUAGCAUGAUGGUAAAAGGAGAACUUGGGACAAAUCUUAAAUUUUUCAGUCAUGGAUUUGAAUUCCGC